UCUCUGGUGCUCCACUGGUUAAGAGUCUGCACUUCAGUGCUGUGGGCCCAGGAUCAAUCCCUGGUCAGGGAA
rnacentral:tRNA from 1 species